UACGUAGGUGGCAAGCGUUGUCCGGAUUUACUGGGCGUAAAGAGCGCGCAGGCGGUCGACCAAGUCGCGUGUGAAAGCCCCCGGCUCAACUGGGGAGGGUCACGCGAUACUGCUCGACUCGAAGGCAGGAGAGGGUAGUGGAAUUCCCGGUGUAGUGGUGAAAUGCGUAGAUAUCGGGAGGAACACCAGUGGCGAAGGCGACUGCCUGGCCUGUUCUUGACGCUGAGGCGCGAAAGCUAGGGGAGCAAACGGG
rnacentral:rRNA from 1 species